AUGAAAAUCCUAGGAUGGAACUGCCGUGGUAUGCUCUCCAACACGACAAUUCGUGAGCUUCUGGACCUACAGGAGCGUACAAGGGCAGACUUAAUUUUCCUUUCUGAAUCCCAUUUGAAUAAUUGUAAAGCCGAUGAGCUUCGUCGUACUUUAGGUUUUGAUUCUAUGUUUGUAGUGGAAAGUGAUGGUAAGGCCCGUGGCCUCGCUUUGUUUUAUCAUAAGUCGAAUAAAGCCGAGUUGAACUAUGUCUCAUCCCAUUUUAUUGAUAUUGUUUUUAUGUACGAGGAUGUGGUUCAGUGGCGGUUCACGGGUUUUUAUGGUCACCCGAAAUGGAAUGAACACUAUCUCUCUUGGAACGAUAUUCGCAAUCCAAAACAUUCAGUUGCGCAUCAAGGGCGGUCGCUCGCACAUGCCACGUCGGAUUAG
rnacentral:rRNA from 1 species